GGAAUUGUGGCUCAGUGUAGAGUGCUUGCCUAGUAUACAGGAGGCACUGGGUUCAAUCCCCGGCACCA
rnacentral:tRNA from 1 species